rnacentral:pre_miRNA from 1 species
AUGUAGGGCAAUCUGUCUUCAGGUAGGGAUAAAUUACACUAAAACAAACAAACAAAAAAGAAUCCUAGAUAGUUUUCCCUUCAGAUCAAGCAUCUUGU